rnacentral:lncRNA from 1 species
AUGAAAUUGAAAAUGUAAUUAAAAACUUAUCACCUAAGAAAAGCCCGGGCCUCUGACUCUGCUGCUCACUCGUCUCUCCCCGGCGCCACCUCUCCCAUUUUGGAAACCUGGUCCGAAUGGCACCAUCCACCGGACAUUCCCCAAAUCAAGAUCAAAAGGGCCGGCUUGCAAGUGAACUCACCUGGAGCAGACAUGGAGCCUCCCUUGUGCCUUCCCCUUGCUCAGGUGGAAUAGCUAGAGCCCCACGAGGCCGAAACAGAUGCUCCGGCUCCAUGUCCAGAACACCAUGGGCCUGCUCUGCAGCCAGAGCCAGCACCAGAGAAGGAGCCUCCUCUGGAGACAGGAGAGAAGCAGAAGCCAGCUCCACAGCACUCCUGCCUCUCUGCUGCCGCUGACAAGGACAGGCCCUUGCAGAAGGAGCUGUUCAAGAAUGUGUUGCCCUGGGACUGCCUGGGCUCCAUCUGGACCCGGAGAAACAAAAGGGGCAAAGAACCUCUGGCGCCCACCGUUCGGGCCACUAUCACAUAUUUUAAUCAGGGGAGCGAGGAGCUUCCGGGGCGCAGAAGCCCAGCAGAGGCGGCCCCCCUACAGGCCUCCUCCCGGACCAGGACAGCGGGGACACUGCCACGCAGAGGACCGUGUGGAAGCCAGG